CUGUUUGGACACUUUUAUAUUGGUCGACUGCAGACCAGCACAGUGGACAGUAAGUCACUAAAUGCCUCCUGCCCAGUUCUGUGCAGCUGUACACCUUGGCUUUUAUCCUGUAUUGGAACUGGGAAGUGGCAUCAGCUGGAUAAUGUCCCUUUCAUCAGAGGGUCGUCAUAUAUUUUCAACUCUCUGGAUUUAGGUGAAAAUGCCAUCACUACCAUCCAAAAAAGCAAUUGGUUACCCUACAGAUGGACAGAAAACUUAGACCUACAUGGAAAUCAACUUGAAAAGCUACAGAAGGAUUCAUUUGAAGGGCUCAUCUUACUAAAGAAAUUGAUUCUUUCUGGAAAUGUCAUCUCAAAAAUUGCAGGGUUUACAUUUCAAGCACUACCUUUCCUGGAGAUUCU